rnacentral:rRNA from 1 species
GAUGAACGCUAGCGAUAGGCUUAACACAUGCAAGUCGAGGGGCAGCAUGGUCUUAGCUUGCUAAGACUGAUGGCGACCGGCGCACGGGUGCGUAACGCGUAUGCAACUUGCCUCACAGAGGGGGAUAACCCGUCGAAAGACGGACUAAUACCGCGUACACUUGGGAUAGGGCAUCCUGACCCAAGGAAAUGAAAUUCGCUGUGAGAUAGGCAUGCGCCCCAUUAGCUAGUUGGUGAGGUAACGGCUCACCAAGGCGACGAUGGGUAGGGGAACUGAGAGGUUGAACCCCCACACUGGUACUGAGACACGGACCAGACCGCUACGGGAGGCAGCAGUGAGGAAGAUUGGUCAAGGGGCGAGAGCCUGAACCAGCCAAGUCGCGUGAAGGAUGACUGUCUUAUGGAUUGUAAACUUCUUUUAUACGGGAAUAACAAGAGUCACGUGUGGCUCCCUGCAUGUACCGUAUGAAUAAGCAUCGGCUAACUCCGUG